rnacentral:lncRNA from 1 species
CUGAAGGGCUCUGGGCACCUGGCUACAGGGCAGUCUUGUCCUCUUUGACCCAGGGUGGAUGGAGGUUUGCUGGCCUGGCUGUUAGGUGCCCAGGACCGCCUCAGACCAGUCUCGGUAGGCCCUUUUCUUUAGGGCCUUGGGUGGGUGCGGAGCCGGGCUGGAGAGGCAUGGGUAGCUGGGGCGGCUCCAAGCGUCUCCGAGCUGCUCGCGGGGCGGGGCCCCGGGACUUCGGGGCGGGUUUGGCCGGUUGCUGGUGGGUGGGGUCGGGUUGGCUGGGCCCCGCCCCUGUACCCUGAAACCUUCGUCGCUGGCGGUCGGAGGGCGGGGUUCGUGCGCCGUGGCGUCACGACGCCAGUCCUUCCAGACGGCGCUGCGCAGGCGAGCCGGGAGAGGAGGCCGGCGCUGGGAUUCUGAUCGGCGGCUCGGGCGGUGCGAGCCUCUCCUGCUCGGGUCCUGGUCCUUGUCGUCUCUCCCCACCUUCCGCCACCCCGGAGACGCGCGGAGAGUCGGGGAGCUCGCUGGGGACUGGAAGGAACCCUCCUCCGCAGCCUCGCCUUGGGGCACCGUCUUGCCUCUGGCCCCUCCCGCUACCCCAGAUUCGUUGGCUUCUCAGCCUGCACCCAGACAAGCUCAGACCUUCGUGUUCAUCCCCACCCCACAGUUUCUCCAGCCGUCUGGGUGCUGGGGCAGCCUUCCCUCUCACUGGCUUUCAGAACCAGGCCAGGGCUCUUGAAAUGAUUUAAAAAACAUUAUACAAAGGCUGAUCAGUUUAAAAUGUGACUGACACUGAAAUGCUGUGAUGUUCCCCAGACUGAGGGGAAGCUGGGCUCUGGGGCCCCCAGUGCUUUGCCCCUCUGUCUGCCCUGUCCUGGGAUGAUGGACAAACGGAUGACCACAAGGCAGGAGAAUCCAUGAUUGGAAGCCUCCAGGCUGAGCCCUCUCUGGGCCUGGCCCUGCAUCCCUCACAUCUGCAGCCUGGGCUGCCUGCCUCCAUCUCCUGCUCUUUCUCAGCUGACCUCGGUAGUACCAGGAGCCAGUGGGAGCCUGGGGGGCCUAGAGCUUUCAAGAAGUGAGAGCACCAACCUGAGGAGUGGAGAGGGACCCGGAAGGGGAGAAGGGAGGCCAAGAAAAGAUGGAUAAAAGAGACACUUCUGAUCUCAUCUUGGACCCUGGAGGGGUCUAGCAAGCCCACUGGAUGGCCUGGGCAAGUAACAGCCUCUCUGUGCUUCAUUUGAGGGCACAGUGAGAGUUAUCCUUGGCCUCCCAGGGACUGCAUGAGUUACAUGUGAGCGGACAGGGGUGAGCUAAUAAAGUGCUUUGCAAAGUAUAAAACACUGUACAAACCUAUGAAUCACUAAUAUCUCUGCAGUUGUUCCCCACCCAUCCCAGGGAGCCCGCC